rnacentral:rRNA from 1 species
UUAAGCGACUAAGCGUACACGGUGGAUGCCCUGGCAGUCAGAGGCGAUGAAGGACGUGCUAAUCUGCGAAAAGCGCCGGCGAGGUGAUAUGAACCCUUGACCCGGCGAUGUCCGAAUGGGGAAACCCAGUGCAAUCCGUUGCACUAUCGUUAACUGAAUACAUAGGUUAACGAGGCGAACCGGGGGAACUGAAACAUCUAAGUACCCCGAGGAAAAGAAAUCAACCGAGAUUCCCCCAGUAGCGGCGAGCGAACGGGGAGCAGCCCGGAGUCUGAAUCAGCUUGUGUGUUAGUGGAACGGUCUGGAAAGUCCGACGGUACAGGGUGAUAGUCCCGUACACGAAAAUGCACAUGCUGUGAACUCGAAGAGUAGGGCGGGACACGUGGUAUCCUGUCUGAAUAUGGGGGGACCAUCCUCCAAGGCUAAAUACUCCUGACUGACCGAUAGUGAACCAGUACCGUGAGGGAAAGGCGAAAAGAACCCCGGCGAGGGGAGUGAAAAAGAACCUGAAACCGUGUACGUACAAGCAGUGGGAGCCUCUUUAUGGGGUGACUGCGUACCUUUUGUAUAAUGGGUCAGCGACUUAUAUUCUGUAGCAAGGUUAACCGUAUAGGGGAGCCGAAGGGAAACCGAGUCUUAACUGGGCGUUAAGUUGCAGGGUAUAGACCCGAAACCCGGUGAUCUAGCCAUGGGCAGGUUGAAGGUUGGGUAACACUAACUGGAGGACCGAACCGACUAAUGUUGAAAAAUUAGCGGAUGACCUGUGGCUGGGGGUGAAAGGCCAAUCAAACCGGGAGAUAGCUGGUUCUCCCCGAAAGCUAUUUAGGUAGCGCCUCGUGAACUCAUCUUCGGGGGUAGAGCACUGUUUCGGCUAGGGGGCCAUCCCGGCUUACCAACCCGAUGCAAACUACGAAUACCGAAGAAUGUUAUCACGGGAGACACACGGCGGGUGCUAACGUCCGUCGUGAAGAGGGAAACAACCCAGACCGCCAGCUAAGGUCCCAAAGUCAUGGUUAAGUGGGAAACGAUGUGGGAAGGCACAGACAGCCAGGAUGUUGGCUUAGAAGCAGCCAUCAUUUAAAGAAAGCGUAAUAGCUCACUGGUCGAGUCGGCCUGCGCGGAAGAUGUAACGGGGCUAAACCAUGCACCGAAGCUGCGGCAGCGACACUAUGUGUUGUUGGGUAGGGGAGCGUUCUGUAAGCCGUUGAAGGUGUGCUGUGAGGCAUGCUGGAGGUAUCAGAAGUGCGAAUGCUGACAUAAGUAACGAUAAAGCGGGUGAAAAGCCCGCUCGCCGGAAGACCAAGGGUUCCUGUCCAACGUUAAUCGGGGCAGGGUGAGUCGACCCCUAAGGCGAGGCCGAAAGGCGUAGUCGAUGGGAAACAGGUUAAUAUUCCUGUACUUGGUGUUACUGCGAAGGGGGGACGGAGAAGGCUAUGUCAGCCGGGCGACGGUUGUCCCGGUUUAAGCAUGUAGGCGGAGGUUCCAGGUAAAUCCGGUACCUUGUUAACGCUGAGGUGUGAUGACGAGGCACUACGGUGCUGAAGUGAUAAAUGCCCUGCUUCCAGGAAAAGCCUCUAAGCAUCAGGUAACACGAAAUCGUACCCCAAACCGACACAGGUGGUCAGGUAGAGAAUACCAAGGCGCUUGAGAGAACUCGGGUGAAGGAACUAGGCAAAAUGGUGCCGUAACUUCGGGAGAAGGCACGCUGAUGUGUAGGUGAAGCCCCUGCGGGCGGAGCUGAAAUCAGUCGAAGAUACCAGCUGGCUGCAACUGUUUAUUAAAAACACAGCACUGUGCAAACACGAAAGUGGACGUAUACGGUGUGACGCCUGCCCGGUGCCGGAAGGUUAAUUGAUGGGGUUAGCGGCAACGCGAAGCUCUUGAUCGAAGCCCCGGUAAACGGCGGCCGUAACUAUAACGGUCCUAAGGUAGCGAAAUUCCUUGUCGGGUAAGUUCCGACC